rnacentral:rRNA from 1 species
UGGGGAAUUUUGGACAAUGGGGGAAACCCUGAUCCAGCCAUCCCGCGUGUGCGAUGAAGGCCUUCGGGUUGUAAAGCACUUUUGGCAGGAAAGAAACGUCAUGGGUUAAUACCCCGUGAAACUGACGGUACCUGCAGAAUAAGCACCGGCUAACUACGUGCCAGCAGCCGCGGUAAUACGUAGGGUGCAAGCGUUAAUCGGAAUUACUGGGCGUAAAGCGUGCGCAGGCGGUUCGGAAAGAAAGAUGUGAAAUCCCAGAGCUCAACUUUGGAACUGCAUUUUUAACUACCGGGCUAGAGUGUGUCAGAGGGAGGUGGAAUUCCGCGUGUAGCAGUGAAAUGCGUAGAUAUGCGGAGGAACACCGAUGCGAAGGCAGCCUCCUGGGAUAACACUGACGCUCAUGCACGAAAGCGUGGGGAGCAAACAGG